GACGAACGCUGGCGGCGUGCUUAACACAUGCAAGUCGAACGGAAAGGCCCUUCGGGGUACUCGAGUGGCGAACGGGUGAGUAACACGUGGGUGAUCUGCCCUGCACUUUGGGAUAAGCCUGGGAAACUGGGUCUAAUACCGGAUAGGACCACGCGCUUCAUGGUGUGUGGUGGAAAGCUUUUGCGGUGUGGGAUGGGCCCGCGGCCUAUCAGCUUGGUGGUGGGGUAAUGGCCUACCAAGGCGACGACGGGUAGCCGGCCUGAGAGGGUGAUCGGCCACACUGGGACUGAGAUACGGCCCAGACUCCUACGGGAGGUAGCAGUGGGGAAUAUUGCACAAUGGGCGCAAGCCUGAUGCAGCGACGCCGCGUGAGGGAUGACGGCCUUCGGGUUGUAAACCUCUUUCGCCAGGGACGAAGCGCGAGUGACGGUACCUGGAGAAGAAGGACCGGCCAACUACGUGCCAGCCGCCGCAGUAA
rnacentral:rRNA from 1 species